UGCAUCCCUCAAGCACUGCUUGGUAUUGGGCGUCGCCCCCGUGGCGCGCCUGGAUUUCAGUGGCGGUCCGGCGAGACUUCAAGCGUAGCAAGAUUUUCACAUCCCGCUUUCGAAGCCUUCUCGCCGCGCGCCGGCCAGACAACCCCCGCAACAUACCAAUGAUUGACCUCGGAUCAGGUAGGGAUACCCGCUGAACUUAA
rnacentral:misc_RNA from 1 species